AAUUUACUUAGAAUUUUGUCUGCAAAUGUUUAUUGAAAACAAACACAUAAAAACUUUAUUGAUAUUCUUCAGACCCUUUUUACAAAAGUGUAGUGACCAUGUUCAUUGAGUAUUGCUGUCUUCAUAGCCUGGAGCCGGGACUUCUGAAAAACAUAUUUACACAAGUUCACAUCAAUUCUUAGGAAAUCAGGUUGUGGAAAUUAUCCUACCAGGUAGGAUAAAAGACAGCCAAAGGUGGUAGAUACGCAACUUAGUCACUUGACUCCAUUGCAUUCUGCAUCUAACAACUCUGUGUCUCCAGAACAGAAGAGGAUGAAGACCCUCAGUGUGAUAGUGAUGUUUGCACUCCUGGGUGUCCUGUUGGCAAACCCUCCCAACGAGGUUAAUCUGGAGGAAGAUUCUCUGCCUCAAGAAGACAACAUGGCUCAAUAUGAUAAACCUCUGUCUCAAGAAGAUGAACUGGCUCAAUCUGACGAUUCGCUGUCUCAGGAGGACAACGACGGUCAAAAUGACGAUUCGCUGUCUCAGGAGGACAACGACGGUCAAAAUGACGUGGCAAUUGCAACAAAAUUACUGCAGGAGAUCCAGAACCCUCCCCCAGGCGUAAAGUUGCAAAGUCUUUGUUGGCGAAGACGUUGGUUCUCAUACAGAUUUCUCAGGGGCUUCUAUCCCCGCAGAUGGCGCCGCUAUUACCGCUGUUUCUGGUAUUGAGGAUCCUCUCCAGUCUCCAUAUGAAAUGUACCACAAUGGAACUCACACGUCUCCUGACAUCACCUCUCACCAACCUGAUGUAUCAACAACCUCUUAGACUCACAUCAUCACUAUAUCUACUGAUUAAUGUCUGCAAAACCAGACCUUUACGUCACCUUUUCUCGGUCUGUAUUGAUACUAAAACAAUGAUGAUAGAUGAUGAACACUGACUAUGUGAAGACAUGGUGGUAAUGUUGUAUGGCUGAUCUGUCAAACUGCAAACCUUUAAUAAACAUUUAUCAAGCAUCAUACAUUAUCAGCUGUGCUUAAUGAUUUGCCCAAUAUUUACAACCCCAUUUUCAAAAAAGUUGGGACACUGUGUAAAAUGUAAAGAAAAACAGAAUGCAAUGAUGUCCAAAUAAUGUAAAGCCUAUUUUCAAUAGAAAAUAGUAACAAGACAACAUAUCAAAUGUUGAAACUGAGAAAUGUUAUUGUUUCUUGGUAUAAUACAUGCUCACUUUGAAUAUGAUGCCAGCAGCACGUUUCCAAAAAGCUGGGACAGAGACACCAAAAGACUGGAAACAUGUAAUGCUAAAAACUUAAAACUGUUGGAAUAUCACACAACUAAUUAGGUCAGUUGGCAACAGGUCUGUAACAUGAUUGAGAACCUGGAGUAAUCUCUGUAGGCAAAAACCAAUACUGGAUGGCCGUGAUCUUCGGGCCCUCAGGCUCUGUAGUGAAAGAACUGGGUGCUAAACUGGCUUGUCUACCGUCCAGACAUGUCCCCUAAUUAAAAUAUUUGUUGUAUUAGGAAAUGACAAAUAGAGCAAAAAGGACCCCGAACUCUUAUAUUGAGAAUGAAUGGGAAAACAUUUCACUUUCAAAACUACAGCAAUUGGCAUCCUCAGUUCCCAAUUGCUUUACAAAAUAUUGUUAAAAGAAAAGAUGAUGCAACACAGUGUUAAACACGGCCGUCCCAACUCUUUUGAAAUAUGGUUGCUGCUGGCAUCAAAUUCAAA
rnacentral:lncRNA from 1 species